GGUGCUAUAAUGCAGUCGAGCGAACUGAUUAGAAGCUUGCUUCUAUGACGUUAGCGGCGGACGGGUGAGUAACACGUGGGCAACCUGCCUGUAAGACUGGGAUAACUUCGGGAAACCGAAGCUAAUACCGGAUAGGAUCUUCUCCUUCAUGGGAGAUGAUUGAAAGAUGGUUUCGGCUAUCACUUACAGAUGGGCCCGCGGUGCAUUAGCUAGUUGGUGAGGUAACGGCUCACCAAGGCAACGAUGCAUAGCCGACCUGAGAGGGUGAUCGGCCACACUGGGACUGAGACACGGCCCAGACUCCUACGGGAGGCAGCAGUAGGGAAUCUUCCGCAAUGGACGAAAGUCUGACGGAGCAACGCCGCGUGAGUGAUGAAGGCUUUCGGGUCGUAAAACUCUGUUGUUAGGGAAGAACAAGUACGAGAGUAACUGCUCGUACCUUGACGGUACCUAACCAGAAAGCCACGGCUAACUACGUGCCAGCAGCCGCGGUAAUACGUAGGUGGCAAGCGUUAUCCGGAAUUAUUGGGCGUAAAGCGCGCGCAGGCGGUUUCUUAAGUCUGAUGUGAAAGCCCACGGCUCAACCGUGGAGGGUCAUUGGAAACUGGGGAACUUGAGUGCAGAAGAGAAAAGCGGAAUUC
rnacentral:rRNA from 2 species